GACGAACGCUGGCGGCGUGCUUAACACAUGCAAGUCGAACGGAAAGGCCCUGCUUUUGUGGGGUGCUCGAGUGGCGAACGGGUGAGUAACACGUGAGUAACCUGCCCUUGACUUUGGGAUAACUUCAGGAAACUGGGGCUAAUACCGGAUAGGAGCUCCUGCUGCAUGGUGGGGGUUGGAAAGUUUCGGCGGUUGGGGAUGGACUCGCGGCUUAUCAGCUUGUUGGUGGGGUAGUGGCUUGCCAAGGCUUUGACGGGUAGCCGGCCUGAGAGGGUGACCGGCCACAUUGGGACUGAGAUACGGCCCAGACUCCUACGGGAGGCAGCAGUGGGGAAUAUUGCACAAUGGGCGGAAGCCUGAUGCAGCAACGCCGCGUGCGGGAUGACGGCCUUCGGGUUGUAAACCGCCUUCGCCUGUGACGAAGCGUGAGUGACGGUAAUGGGUAAAGAAGCACCGGCUAACUACGUG
rnacentral:rRNA from 1 species